AGUCGAACGAUGAAGCCCCUUCGGGGGUGGAUUAGUGGCGAACGGGUGAGUAACACGUGGGCAAUCUGCCCUGCACUCUGGGACAAGCCCUGGAAACGGGGUCUAAUACCGGAUACGACCCUCGGACGCAUGGCCUGGGGGUGGAAAGCUCCGGCGGUGCAGGAUGAGCCCGCGGCCUAUCAGCUUGUUGGUGAGGUAACGGCUCACCAAGGCGACGACGGGUAGCCGGCCUGAGAGGGCGACCGGCCACACUGGGACUGAGACACGGCCCAGACUCCUACGGGAGGCAGCAGUGGGGAAUAUUGCACAAUGGGCGCAAGCCUGAUGCAGCGACGCCGCGUGAGGGAUGACGGCCUUCGGGUUGUAAACCUCUUUCAGCAGGGAAGAAGCGUAAGUGACGGUACCUGCAGAAGAAGCGCCGGCUAACUACGUGCCAGCAGCCGCGGUAAUUCAAGU
rnacentral:rRNA from 2 species